rnacentral:rRNA from 1 species
GAUGAACGCUGGCGGCGUGCCUAAUACAUGCAAGUCGAGCGAACAGACGAGGAGCUUGCUCCUCUGACGUUAGCGGCGGACGGGUGAGUAACACGUGGAUAACCUACCUAUAAGACUGGGAUAACUUCGGGAAACCGGAGCUAAUACCGGAUAACAUGUUGAACCGCAUGGUUUAACAGUGAAAGACGGUCUUGCUGUCACUUAUAGAUGGAUCCGCGCCGCAUUAGCUAGUUGGUAAGGUAACGGCUUACCAAGGCAACGAUGCGUAGCCGACCUGAGAGGUGGUUGGCCACACUGGGACAUGGAAACGGUCCCGACUCCUACGGGGGGCAGCAGUAGGGAAUCUUCCGCAAUGGGCGAAAGCCUGACGGAGCAACGCCGCGUGAGUGAAGAAGGUCUUCGGAUCGUAAAACUCUGUUAUUAGGGAAGAACAAAUGUGUAAGUAACUAUGCACGUCUUGACGGUACCUAAUCAGAAAGCCACGGCUAACUACGUG